AUUGAACGCUGGCGGCAGGCCUAACACAUGCAAGUCGAGCGGAUGAAGGGAGCUUGCUCCUGGAUUCAGCGGCGGACGGGUGAGUAAUGCCUAGGAAUCUGCCUGGUAGUGGGGGAUAACGUCCGGAAACGGGCGCUAAUACCGCAUACGUCCUGAGGGAGAAAGUGGGGGAUCUUCGGACCUCACGCUAUCAGAUGAGCCCAGGUCGGAUUAGCUAGUUGGUGGGGUAAAGGCCUACCAAGGCGACGAUCCGUAACUGGUCUGAGGGGAUGAUCAGUCACACUGGAACUGAGACACGGUCCAGACUCCUACGGGAGGCAGCAGUGGGGAAUAUUGGACAAUGGGCGAAAGCCUGAUCCAGCCAUGCCGCGUGUGUGAAGAAGGUCUUCGGAUUGUAAAGCACUUUAAGUUGGGAGGAAGGGCAGUAAGUUAAUACCUUGCUGUUUUGACGUUACCAACAGAAUAAGCACCGGCUAACUUCGUG
rnacentral:rRNA from 1 species